rnacentral:pre_miRNA from 1 species
UUUUAAGGAUAAGUCUUUCUCAUGCAAUAUUUGGGACAGACUUAUAUUAAAA